UCAUAUCUUGCCUAGUGAGACUCUCUGGGGGUGGAUUACAGAAGUUGAUUUAGUCUGAGGAGGGGCUGGGAGUAGGAGGUGAUGUUCUUUAGAGCUAGGCACCGGGCCAUUUAGGCAAGAAUGUGCAUUAGACAACAGUGUGUUUUUAGCUCAUCCAUCCAUUUCUCUGUACCUUCUCUCCCAGGCACAUUUAUCUUCUAAGUCAUGAGACUCUUCAGGUACUUCUGUAUCUUGACUUCUGGAAGUUUCUUUCAGGAAAGGAUUUGAUAAGGCCUGAGUUCAUUAUUGCUUAAAGGACGACAAAGUUUAGACUCACUCGUUAGAACAGAGUAAACCUUUUAAAGGAAAUAAAACUGAAAGUGGAAGCAACAGCAUUUUUGUUGGGUGAGUUCUUGACUUAGGGUAUCAAUAGCUUAAGGAUAUGAGGAGUUUUGUAGUGUUGUCAAACACUGCCAUCUUGCCCCUCCCCUCUGAAUGUUCCUGAGGGUAUCUUUGGCCAGGGUCACGUGCUUCAGUCUUUCAAACUGUCAAUCUGGCAACAUCUAUUAAAUUUCAAGCGAGACCAAAUGAAAAGGAGCAGUUUACAAUUGGAUUGCAUAAAGGUUAACAGUGUAAAAGAGGCAAAAAUCAUGAUAGGAUAGCGUUGGGACUCAGCUAUUGGACUUUUCACAAUCCAAUCUGUACAUACCUCAUAGUUGACUUAACCUUCUGCAUCCAGGAGAAUUGGCCCAGGACAAGUUUUUGCUUGUGACAGAAGCCCAGCUCCUUCCCUGCUCUUUGAAUAGCCAAACAGAAUUGACAGAUGAUUUGCUGCAUGCCACCAAGAGAAAUCCUAGUUAGUGCAUCUGAUGGACUACAGAAUAGCAAGGCUGCUUAACAUGAAUUUUAUUGCAUCUCAGCACCUGCUCCAGCCAAAAGUCAUUACGAUCUAGAGGAGGCUGUGCUCAGAUGAUCAUUAUUCCUGUUUCUUUGCAUUUGUAUUCUGCCGAGUACUGUGCCAGGGAAAAUUGAUGAAUGGAGGAACUGAUUGUGAGUGGCACGAACCUGUGGCUGCAAAUCUUCUGUGAGCCUGGAAUGUUAGUUGAGCUAGUGGGGAGCAGGAUUGUUUACGCAGCUGAAGUCAUUGUCUAUCACCCAGGCUUGUCUCUUGCUUAAGUUGUCUCAUUCCUCCUCUCCCUCCCCCUCCCCGUACCCUUUCCCUCCUUAACUUUUGUAAAGAUAUGUGCUUUAGUAAGAAAUAUGAAAGAAAGAAACAUAAUAACUGUCUUAGGGUUUUUAAUUGCUGUGAUGAGACACCAUGACCAUGACAACUCUUGUAAAGGAAAACAUUUAAUUGGGCCUGGCUUACAUUUCAGAGGCUUAGUCCAGUACUGUCAUGGCAGGAAGCAUGGUGGUAUACAGGCAGACAUGGUACUGGAGAGGUGGCUGAAAGUUCUACAUCUGGACAAGCAGGCAGCAGGAAGAGAGGGAGUCACUGGGCCUGGCUUGGGCAUUUGAAACCUCAAAGCCCACCUCCAGUGACACACUUCUUCCAAUGAGACCACACCUCCUAAUGCUACCCUAUACGAAUUCACAUAUGACUCUAUGGGGGGCAUUCUUAUUCAAAUCACCACAAUGACCAAAACAAAACCCAUCAGACAAAAAAGUCCAAUUGAGCUUCAUUCCCUGAUCAGCAGGCUAAUACUAGGAUUGUUUUUCUAACAUACUCUGUACCCCAUACUCACCUCCCAUGUGUGAAGUUUCAAACCCAUGGCCUUGUGCAUAUUAUGCAACAUUUUGCCACUGAGAUGUAUACUUAGCUCUCUCAAUAAAUCCAUUGGCAAGACCAGAUCAGUCAUUAAGAUACUGACAUGCUCCCUUACCAAAUGGUAUCUGUUGGCUGAGCUUAGACCUCUGAAAGUAUCUUGAUAGCAGACUGCUUUGUUGUUUUCAUUGGGUGCCUAAGGCUUUGAAGGUUGCCUCAAUAUCCAGAAAGCAAAGCUUUAGACCUUAUCUUCAUAGGAAGGCAGCAGAAGCUGCUCCAGCUGGGUAAGCAGGUGGUUUCAGGCCCAUUUCCCAACAGUUGCUAACUGCUACAAUGGCUUCCAAAGAAUCAAAGAGAGGCACUAACUGUGGGGCAGGAAAGAAUAUAACAAAAGUGAUUGCUUCUGCAUACUUUGGCUGUUGAUUUUUGUUUUUGAUGUGUAAACCAGGUUGGAAUCCUGGUAAAGAAGAAGAUGAAUGGAUACUCUUUGUUAGGUCAAAAUGCUUGCUUUUAUGGAAUGGAAUACCAGCUUGGUGUCUGAGUAGAGGAGAAAAAAGAGCAUGCACUGUCCUGGAUCAGGGUUCCCUCAGGCCUAAGUGAUGAUUCAAUACAUUUUGUGCAGUCUACUGUGACCCUUAUUGUCUUUGCUUGUUAGAAUAUAGAAUGGAUUACUACUGACUAUCAUUAUGAGUAGGUGUGUUUCUCUUGUUGCAGCUCCCAGAAGAGUUUGCAUUUUACUUUUUGCCUAUUUCUUCCCUUUACAAUUCAGGAAUCAUAACAAAUGUUUCAUCUCUUUAGCAGGAUUCCUGUAUUUUCACUCCUGACUAACAAAGGUCUUCGCUGACAGAAACCAUAUCCUCUGCACAUUACUGUGUGCAUUUCUUUAGACCCACCAUUUGUGAGCUGUGUGUGAUUGGUUCUGCACAGAUUAAAAUAGCACCUAGAGAGCCAAUUUAAGAUUCAAGAUGAGUGAACCUGAACAUUAGAGCCAUUCUGGCAAGAGCACACCUCGUAAAUCCCAUUGUUAAAUUUGUAGUGCUAGCAAUGGAAUGCACAGCUCGGCAUUUCACCCUUGUUAAAGCAAAGGUAAGUUGUAAGUGCCCUUAUACAGCUCCAAUGGGCAUAGAGACAAUGGAUUGGGAAAGGCUUUCUUAAAUCCCGUUGGCACUGUGAGGCACAAAUACACCUUCCAGAAAGGCUAGUGUCUUCUAAUUUUAGACUCUGUUAAUUAAAAGUGUGCUGUCACUUAUAAAAAUAAAUCUGCAUGUUCGAAAUGAAGUAGGGUACUAGAAAAAAAAUUAGCAAGCAGUUCAUUGAGAAGAUAUAGAAAAUAAUUGGAAAUUACUAGAGAUUAGAUUUGUGAUAGUCUGUAAUCUGAACAUCUAUUUUCCUCAAAAUUUCAUGUUCUUAGCUGGGUGUGGCAGCCCAUGCCUAUAAUUCCAGCAUACUGGAGUUUGAGACAGAGCACAAAGUGAGGGGACCAGAAUCUGAGGACAGCCAAGGUUGCAUAGCAAAACACUCACUCCAUUUUUAAAGAAACUCUGCUUUUAAUUAACAAACCUGUUAGCUCCACGUGAUCAUCUGUUAGAUCAGUAUUUCUCAAUUUUAUUGGUGCUUUGGGAUCUCUUAGGAGGGGUUGUAAAAAUGUGGCUGCCUGGGUCCUAUGCAGAGAUAUUCUAGUUUAUUUGGUCUAGAGUUUGAUCUGGGUAUCAUGGGUUUUACAAAUUUCCCUAGGGAAUUUUAAUGUGCAGGUUCAGAGCGUUUCGGCCAGAACCUCGUUGAACCAUUUAGUUUAAAAGAAGAUGCAUCAGGGACAUAGAUGCUUCCAAAACCUGUCUUAAUUGUAUGCAUCUAAUAUACAUUUUUGUCAAACUACAUAGGACCCAUAAUUGCUCCAGACCUCUAAGACUUGGUCGUAUUUGAAUGUUUGAUUGGAUACAUUUAGAAACAUGCUUGGAUUGCUUAAUUCAGUAUUAUAAGGCCUAAAAUUUAGAGAUGUCUAGAUUGUGUACAUGUUAUAUUUUUAUUAUCCCUUUAAGGAAACAAACCUCUGGCUCUCACAGGGUUAGUUGUUUUACUGAGAAAUAUCUUCCUGUCUACUCUUAGCAAAAGAUACUAUAUUUAUGUAUUAUAAAGUAGUAUUUGUUGCCUUUUCAAAAAGUGAUGAUAGUCUCUAGGUAGAAGAUAAUAGCAGCUGAAUGCUGAUGAAAAUUUGCCUGAUUUGAUUACAGUUCAUUAAGAACAGCAGCAUUUCUGAGAAUCAAACUUGCUUCAUACCAGAUACAAGGCGGAUAUCAUUUUGAUGCUUCAAACAGCCUGCAGAGUGAAGUCUAUAGGAACUUAGAUCAGGCAAUGGUUUUGAUAUAGUUAUUUAUCAUUGCUUGGCUACCUGUCAGCAUGAAGGACAAAUUCACUUCAUUAAUAACUUAAAGCUGCAUUGGUGAGACCAUUUAAAUGUGUUCAUUAAAGCUAACUGGGAAAGCUCCCUCCCUUUUCAGAAGUAUUUCACCCUUUUCAACUCAUCCCUGCCAAAUCUGAAUAGAAAAAUGUGAAUCUUUGCAAUGUUUAUUUUCCAAUGAGACACAAAGUUUCAAGACAAUGCAUGUCUAGGUGGCCUUCAUCUGUCAGGAGUCUCCCUCCAUCCUAGCAGUUUUGACAAAAACAUUAAGAGAAAACUAUGUGUCAUUUUGUCCUGAAGAGUACUCUGACGGUUGGUAGACAGCACUCUUUCCAUGGCACCAGCAACAUGUGUUUUAGAACUCCUAAUCGCUCAGUUUUGAGGGUACGGUGCUCUAAUACAGGAGGGUCCUGGUUUAUGGAAAAGAAUGAAACAAGCUCUCUUUGCUUUAUGAGUCUCAGUAAAGUGGGUCACAGGUAUUUUUACAGGACUGAUGUUGUCGUCCCCAAAGUCAACCCCUAAAGACACUGUGUAGACAUUGUUAUUGUUUGUUUUUCUUUUAGUAAGCUAUAUAUUCCACUUCUUCAAUUUCUAAGUCAUAAAGGAACAUAGGACCUUGAGAAUAAUUCCAAUUUUUCUGUGUUCUAGGCCGGGAGCACCUAAACCUUCCCCAGUAUCGGUGGCCAACAAUGGUUUCUCUGAAGGGAAGGAAAGAAGAAACUAGGAUUUGCCAAAGAGGAAGGGUGGAAUUAUUCGCUAGGGAAUUUAUCAGUCUGCUAUCCUUACAUUUUCUUCCAAUGUGAUCUAACCUUCUCUAAUCUUUUGCCAUACUAAAUCUGAAGCAUAACAAGUAUUAUUUCUCUUUAUCCCAGUAAUUCUAAAUGUCACUUGAUACUUUCCCCACCCCAUUCCUAUAGUCUAAUGUAAGGAUUAUGUCUUCUGUCCUUUCUUUUGAUUAAGGUAUGUUAAAAGUCAAGCUUAGAAAAUUAUGAGCUACAGUUGAAAGAAUGCCACAUGGCAGAUACUAAAUUCACUACAGCUAUGCGUGGUGGCUCAUUGUUGUUGUCAAUUUGUCUGGUUGAGUCCCUGUGAAAACGUGUUCCUAGGUGUAUUAGGUGAUUUACAGGAAGAGUUAAUGGAAGACGAGAUGGAAGACUAAGCCUGAACAUGGCCAAUACUAUUUCAUGGCUGAAUCUGUCCAGGACCAAAUAAAAAGAAAAAAGCAAGCUGAGCAUUGGUAUGCGUCUAUCUCUGCUUCCUGACUAUAGAUUCAUGGUGACCAGUCACCUCACUCUCCUGCCACUAUGCCAUCCUUACCACGGUGGACUAUACUCUUAAACUAAGAGUCAAAUCAAGUCCUGCCUUCCUUAAGUUUUUUUUUUUUUUUUUAAUUCAGGUAUUUGUCACAGUAAUGAGACAAGUAACUGAUACAUCACCCAUAAAAUCAUAGUGAUCACAUACACAGCUGAGAAAAUUAAUUGUACUUUAAGUGAUAUGACUCACCUCCAAAAUUAAAAGAAUCUUCAAAAAUAGGAUCAAAUAUAGGUUCUUUUGAAAAAUAAAUCUGAUGCUCUCUAGCACAUGUCCUACUUCCUACUUACUCACCUGUGGUUUUUAGCAAAGACAGUCAGGUGUUUAUAGGUUCCUACAUCUCUUUCCUCUUCUAUCUACCUAGAACUUAUCUAGGACUUGCCUUCUUACCUUUCUAGAUUGGGGAACCCGAGGUUGGAGUUUUUGUGCCUCUAAGCUCUAUGUUGAAAUCCCACCCCCUCAAGUGAUAAUGUUAAAGGAUUUGGGAAUAAAAUUGGGCUGUGAAGGUGGAUCCCUCAUGAAUAACACUGACACAUUUAUAAGAGAUUCAAGGAAGACUCUAUACCCCUUCUCUCAUGAAAGGUCAUAGAGGGAAGCAUGCAUUGUGAAUCAGAAAGAAGACCACACUAGACAUCAGACCUGCUGACACCUUGGUCCUGGAAUUCCCAACUUUUAGAGUAUUAAAAAAUAAGUUUCUCUUGCUUCUUAUCCCUUCAUUUUGUAAUAUUUUUUACAGUAGCCUGAAUGUAAUAGUGUAGAUGUGUGGUUAGAUUUGUUUAGUGGAAUAAGAUCAGGAUUGACAUUUCACAUUUAGGUCUUUGCUCCAUUUGGAGACUAAUGGGACCUCGUAAAAUUAAAAAGUUUGGCACAGCUACAGGGACAGUCGAUCAAGUGAAGAGGAAGUCAACAAAAUGAGAGAGAAUAUCUGUCAGCUAUACAUCCAGCAGAGAACUAAUAUCCAGAAUAUAUGAAGAGAUCAAGAAAAAAAAAACAGAGUCAAAAAACAAAUGGCACAUUCAAAACAUAGGCUAUGGAUCUAAAAAGAGAGCUCUCAAAACAAAAGAAAAAAAGAGAAUCAGGAUGAUAUCAGCCAGUGCCAAGACUGGCACCUGUUCCUACAGGAUCCCAUCUCCAGUAUCUUUUGUCUCUUCUUUGGAGACUUCAGAAACUAAUUAAAUUACUCCAGAAAUCUGAGUUCUAUGUGCUAGGCUCUGGAUUCCUGAGCGAGUCCUUGAAAGAUAGCUGUGGAAGAGGCUCAUGCAGCUUUCCUGGUCUCCAACUUGAAGGAGAAGCCAAGUUAGGUGUGUUAAGUGGAACUUUAUGGUUUCUUUUCAUCUGUGGAAUGGCUUCUUUGAUCUACAGAGGCUUGAGCAAGUAUGGUUUGUACCUCAAUACAAAUGCAUUUUCAUCUAAUAAAUCCCUUUAGUUUUUCUCUUUCAAUAAUGAAGCAAAAUACCAUUACUUUAACGAUAGAGGACCCUGAUUGAUUUUCUCCGGGUUUCUAUAUUGCUCUUCUUUUUUUUCCUCCCAUUUAAUUUAAUUGUAUAUAAUCCCUGCCCUUUGACAAAUUUCUUCUGAGCACCUUACCUCAGUUUCUUAAUUAUGAAAGACAAAUAAUAUUGCUUCCCCUCUUACUACUCAGAGCUGUCAAAAAGAUAAACGAUUUGAUAAUCAUUAGAGGAGGGAUGUAUAUGCAUAAAGUGUUGUUAUUAUGUUAGUCUCAUGAGAAUAGUAAAAAGUGUUUCUGUGCUGAGGAUCUGGGCAAUGCUACAGAUGGAAGAUUUAUGAUUUGCUCGGUGAUUUGUUUUCCUUUGUGGAAUUGGAGUAGUUCCUUUAGGUUACAUAGAGAACCAACUUAUCUUAAAACCUGAAGGCAUCUUAACAUGUCUACAUGAAUAUUUAAAAUGCUUCAGGGCAUGGAUAUUAUGACUGUUAUAUUAGGCAAUGUGAUUGAUUUAGAGAAAAGCAUGGGUGACUUUUCAUGUGGUUUGAUAUCACAGAGCACAUGUGCAGUUAAGUCUAGCUUUGAUAUGGAUAAAAAUGUAGGAUACUCCACCUAGGGGCUUAGUGACCCUUACACAGAUAAUAUGAAUAAUAGUGGCUCUUACCAGGAGAUCAAAGAUUUAAAACAUUUAGUUCCAGUGUAAGCGUGUGGUAUUAUUUAAAGCACUGUGCUCUCUAGUUGUAGUUAGCUAUUGAAUUUGAGUAAUUAUUGUAAGGAGUUCUUGGCUUUUGAAUUUGGGUGAUUAUUGUAAAGCAUUCUUUGUGACCUUGCAGAACCAUUUUACUUACAUAAGAUGCAUUUAUUUUAACACUGAGAUGAUCAUAACGUGUCCUCAAAUAUAUUUAAUCUGUUUCCUUAACCAUAUCAGUCAUGCAUUAAAGUAGAGUAAUAAAAUUAAUCACAGAAGUACUGGUUCUGUUGCUACAUAAUCCACCUGACGUAAAGAAUUUACAUCCCCCAGUUUCUCCCAUGUUAUUCUGACCAUUCUUAAAAAGUCAGUCACUAUUUGUUCCACUCACCCUUACACUUGGCCACCCCCAUGACACCGCCCUUUCUUUCUCUUUCUCUUUAGUUUCUGAAUGAUGUAUCCCAGUAUCCAAAGCAGGAGCCAGGCUCUGAAUGAGUCUCAAAAAUGUCUCUUGUUGAUUCUGAUACCUGUAAAUGUGUUCUGAGAUUAACCAACACAGUCUCAUGCUCUUUGUUGCAGAAGUAGAUAAAGGUCUAAAUAGAAAAGGGUAGAGGUGUGUGUGUGUGUGUGUGUGUGUGUGUGUGUGUGUGUGUGUGUGUAUGUUUUACAAAUGGGUAAUAUUAGAACUUAUUUCAAUGUCAAUGGGAGUUGUUAGGUAAAAUAAGUAAGGUCCAAAGAUGUUAGAUGAAGCACUGGAAACCUUCCCAUUGGGGAAGACACCUAGAAGCCUGUGGAGCUAACUCUCUUUGGCCAGCAGGGUCGGUUCUGGUACAUUUUCUCACACUGGGAUGUUGGCACAGCGAGACUUCUGUCUGCAAUCUUGCCACUUCAUCUGUUCAACUCCAUUUCUAUUUCCCCCUUUAAAUCUUCCUUGUUUCUUGUCCACCCCAGUUUGGUGGGUGUAUUUUACCUGUGUUCAUAUAGUAGUCAAAAGAUGUCCUCAUUAUCAAGCUUUUGGUAUUGCAGUUGUUAAUAAUUUACUUCGCUGUGGCUUCUAUUAGGUUGUAACCUCCACAAGGAUCCUCUAAUUCAUUUGUUUCACUGUAGUAAAAUGUUCCUGACAAAUUAUUGAGCACUUUAGUCAUUUUAGGUAUGGUGUUCUGAGGUGUUUAGUAUCUUCACUUUGUGAAACUAUCUAUCUCCAGAAAUUUAUUACCUUCAGAGAUGAAACUCUUCCUGACUAAGCUCUAAUCUCAUUUUCCCCCCACCCACCUCCCAGGGAACAUAUCUUGAAGUCUCAGAGAUGAACACAGUGCCUGUCAUAUCAGAGUAGAGAAUGUGGGUUGAUAUUUUAAAAUUUGGAAUGACGAUUUCAUCUCUAUACUAAUCAGAUGAAACUUAAUAGAUCUGUUUGAUGAGAUUCCCCGGGGUUGUCUGCCUUUAUGGAUCUUCCUACAUCUUACCAAAAUUUUAUUAUGACUACGUACCUGAGUUGGACUUGUCCUGAAUGCCUGCUCCCUGAGGACUAGCUUUCAUGGUACCACGUGCUUCCAAAUGAGUGAAGCAAUCAACAGUCUCGCCCAGCGAUAACACCUAUGAACCACCGCAAUGACCAGCAUGGCUUGAUAACAUAUACAUAAAAUAAAAAUAAAUUUCUUGCUAUUUA